AGCCUUAGGAAAUAAAUCUUAGGUUAGACCUGCCCAAUGUAAUUUUAUCAAUGGCCGCGGUACUUUGACCGUGCUAAGGUAGCGCAAUCAAUUGGCUUUUAAUUGGAGCCAGGUAUGAAUGGAGUCACGGGGUUUAGCUGUCUCUAAAUUAAUUUAUUGAAGUUACUAUUUAGGUGAAAAAGCCUAGAAAAUGAAAAAGGACGAGAAGACCCUUAGAGUUUUUCUUACAGUAGAUUAUUUCUAUAACAGUUUAGUUGGGGCAACAUAGGAUCAGAAUUAUUAACAUCCUUAAAAUAAUUUACCGAUUAUAAUAAAUUUGAAUAAACUACCUUAGGGAUAACAGCAUAAUUUUAUAAAUAAGUUUGUGACCUCGAUGUUGGACUAGGAAACUGAAGGGCUAGCCGCCUUUCAGGAAAGUUCUGUUCGAACUAUUAUUCCU
rnacentral:rRNA from 1 species